GGAAAAUGUGCAAAUAUCAAGGUUACCUGGGUCUGCUGGUCACUUCUAGUUUUUGGACUCUUGAAGAUGGUCUCUGUGACUCUGUCCUGGGUGAGAAGAAAGCAAGCAAGCUCCAAAGUGCUUGCCAUUCAAGAAGCCUUCAUGCCCUCAGCUUUAUUGGGAGGGCAUCCUGGAAUGAACCCCACUGCGCAGGAGAAAACUGUUCUUAGAAGAGGCCUGAAGAGAAACAUGACUGACUAGGCCACAGGGACCUCUGGAAUGAGAAGAACUGAGACAGAGAGGCUGGAGUAAAGGAGCAGCAGACCUCCAGACACAUGAUGAUAGUUACCCUUGCUG
rnacentral:lncRNA from 1 species